AACAAAGGCAAUUAAGGCCAAGAUCGAAAAAUCAGCUGAUGACCCAAAAUGCACUGUACAAGGAAACCGAUGAAACCAUUGAUCAUAUCGUCAACUGCUAUAAGAAAAUCGCACAGACAGACUACAAACAGAGGCACAACUAUGUGGUCCAAAUGAUUCAUUGGAACUUAUGCCUCAAGUACCACCUCCCAGCAGCAAAGAACUGGUGGGAUCACAAACCUGCAAAAGUAUUGGAAAAUGAGCACGCAAAGAUACUGUGGGACUUCCGAAUCCAGACUGACAAAGUUCUGGAACACAACACACCAGACAUCACAGUUGUGGAAAGGAAAAAGGUAUGGAUCAUUGAUAUUGCCAUCCCAGGUGACAGUCGCAUUGACGAAAAACAACAGGAAAAACUCAGCCACUAUCAGGACCUCAAGAUUGAACUUCAAAGACUCUGGCACAAACCAGUGCAGGUGAUCCCGGUGGUGAUGGGCACACUGGGUGCCGUGCCAAAAGAUCUCAGCCGGCAUUUGGAAACAAUAGACAUUGACAAAAUUAUGAUCUGCCAACUGCAAAAGGCCACCCUACUGGGAUCUGCGUGCAUCAUCCGAAAAUACAUCACACAGUCCUAGACACUUGGGAAAUGUUCGACUUGUGAUUUUGUGAAACAAAAUCCAGCAUAUCUAUCUUGUUUGCUGUGUCAUACUUAAAAUACUUAAAAUAAUAAUAACUACUUUAUUCUUGUACCCCACAUCCAUCUCCCUGAAGGGACUCGGGGAAGCUUACAUAAGAAAAAAAAACAGUCCAUAAAUUAAACACAAUAUAAUAACACAGUUAUAAAACAACAAAACAUAAUAAUUAUUAAAACCAAGACAUCAAUUGCUAUGUACAGAGGGUGAUUAGUGCAAAACUCUGAGUAAAGUCCAAGAGUAAAAUAGAGACGAGCCGGGGAGGACAAGGAACCGAUCGUGUUAAAACACUAAAACCUAUAAAAUGGAUAUUAAAAUGCAGCACAGUUUGAAAACAAGAUACAUGGCUGGUGGCCUCUUCACUCAAAAGCACACCAGAACAUCCAUGUUUUUAGACUCUGGAGGAAGGUGGACAAUGAAGGAGCCAGUCUAAUCUCGCUGGGAAGCGAGUUCCAGAGUCGGGGAGCCACUACCGAGAAGGCCCUCUCUCUCGUCCCCACCAACUCUGCUUGAGACGGAGGUAGAAGCGAGAGAAGGGCCUCCCUGGAAGAUCUUAGGGCCCGAUGGUACUGGCAUUUUCCCAGUCAAAGCAUGUAAGUUUCAGGAUUACACAAGGUUCUCCCUCAUUCUCAUCCAGCACAAUGAGGGGAUAAUUUGACUGAAAGUGAUGUGAGUUAUACUCCAAUGCAUUUGGAGACUACCAGGUUGAGGAUAGGUAAGGUAAAGGUUUCCCCUGAUGUUAAGUCCAGUCAUGUCUGACUCUGGAGGUUGGUGCUCAUCUCCAUUUCUAAGCCGAAGAGCCGGCGUUGUCCGUAGACACCUCCAAGGUCAUGUGGCCGGCAUGACUGCAUGGAGCGCCGUUACCUUCCCGCCGGAACGGUACCUAUUGAUCUACUCACAUUUGCAUGUUUUUGAACUGCUAGGUUGGCAGGAGAGGGUUGAGGAUAGCUGCAAAAAAAUUACCCUGAUGUGAGAAAAGGAAUUAAAUGUUUAUUUCUCACCCUCCCCUUUUGAUCUGUAGGUGAGUAAACCAGAAAAACCGGACAGCUAACUCUUUUGCUUCCUUCCAGUAAGAAGGUUUUGCCAUACAGUACUUUUCUUGGCUCUUCCUCAAUUCUAGGGCAGGAUAAAUAGGAGAGAGAUCUCCAUGUAGACACAGAAGAAGUCUGGAGAGCUUUGGUGUUUUCUAAAAUCUCCAUCAGUAGUUCUUCUUUCACCUCAGGAACUCCAGACAUUAACAGAGAAUGAAUCGGAUUCUUUUUGGCCUCUCUUUUUUGCUGCUAUGGACUUUCUCCCAACAGCUAUUGUGCAAGGAAUGCCAUAGCCAGAAACUCUCUGACUGUCGGAAUAGCAGCAAAGUAUGUGAAACUAAAUCUGGAAGAUGUUAUACAUCGGGAUUCUAUGAUGUUGUAACAUUAGACCAUGUGACAUACGGAUGCUAUGAAGGUCCAAGAGGUUCAGUGGAUUGUGAUCAUCCUGUAAAGAAGAGUCAACAGUGGACUAAUAUUACUGUUUGUUGUGACACAGACCUGUGCAAUGGAUGGAAGAAACCGCCUGCUCGCUCAUAAAUGUUACGUUUAAGAUUAUGAUUUUUUAAUCCCCAACUUCCUGGCUACUCUUUCUGCUGUAUUUGGUCUCAUGAAUCCCUAAUUUCCUCCCACCUGUGUGUACUUACAGCUAGUAAAAGAUAUAAAUCUUCUCAAGUCCUGGAAAUUCUCAGCUACACAACCAUUAAUUGGAGAGGGAGGUGCUCUCCUUAAGUCCCAUCCUGCAAGUAAUGUGCCACAUAUCCUGCAAGUGAAGCUGUUCUGAGGUUUAUUGGAUUGUAAGGAAGACAUCCAAAGUGCCAAACUCCUUCCUCCAAACAGUUAGACUACUAUGGACAGCUCUCCCGGUAUUCAGACUCAAACUUUGAGUAUGCUUACUAUACAGUACAGUAUACAGUCUGUAGCCUCGGAGAUUUCUAGUGAAGCCCCAUCUCUGUCACAAAUCUUAAACCUUUUUUAGCCCCGAAGCCUGGACUCUCUGUUUUCCAUUCCUCUUCCCCCUCUUGCUAUUUUGGGAAGGAGAAAAAAGAAUGAAGAAAGAUGGCCAACUCCACUCAAAGUUCACCAGCACAAUCCAAGAUCAUUUGGCAUCCUCUCCUUCCUCUUUGCAAACCAGGAGAAAAAAAGCAAAGUCAGUUACCAAACAAACCUUAAGGUGGGAAAGGUCCACUCAGCAUUCGUCACAACAGGAAAUCAUGCCACCCGUAAGGGAAGUGUCCAAUGUUUCACAUUUUAAAGGAAAUAUUCAGUGUUUCAUAUCCUAUUCUCAAGAUAUGUUUAGCAAUUUGGAGAGCUUCUUUAAAGUUCAGGCUAAAACCCACAGCAAGUUCAGCACCCUGGUGAGAAAGCAGCCUAUAGCCAUUGCUGAAUACUGCCCAAUUAUGUCAAUAGAAAUUUCCAGUUAAAAUAAACCGUGUUCUUUGCUAACUAAAAGGCUGUCCUGUGUGCUUUUAACUUCUGUGCUUUUCCUCUGUGGAUCUGUGUGGUUUAUUCGAAGCAGACCCAGAUCUGUCCCUUGUACGGCUUCUUGCUCUGAAAACACUAAGCUUAACUUAGAAAUCAAGAGUGUGGUUCAUUCAUUCAGUCUACAUUGUGAAACUGGGUUGGACUGGGCAGGAGUCCAAUAUGAUGAUCUGGUGAUGAAAUAAUUAAAAAACACACAUUGGAAAUAA